AGUCGACGAAGCGAUGGAAGGAAGUUUUCGGAUGGAAUUCAUAUUGACUGAGUGGCGGACGGGUGAGUAACGCGUGGGUAACCUGCCUCAUACAGGGGGAUAACAGUUAGAAAUGACUGCUAAUACCGCAUAAGCGCACAGAAUCGCAUGAUUCGGUGUGAAAAACUCCGGUGGUAUGAGAUGGACCCGCGUCUGAUUAGCUAGUUGGUGGGGUAAAGGCCUACCAAGGCGACGAUCAGUAGCCGACCUGAGAGGGUGAUCGGCCACAUUGGGACUGAGACACGGCCCAAACUCCUACGGGAGGCAGCAGUGGGGAAUAUUGCACAAUGGGGGAAACCCUGAUGCAGCAACGCCGCGUGAGUGAAGAAGUAUUUCGGUAUGUAAAGCUCUAUCAGCAGGGAAGAAGAUGACGGUACCUGAUUAAGAAGCCCCGGCUAACUACGUGCCAGCAGCCGCGGUAAUACGUAGGGGGCAAGCGUUAUCCGGAUUUACUGGGUGUAAAGGGAGCGUAGACGGCAUAGCAAGUCUGAAGUGAAAGCCCAAGGCUCAACCAUGGGACUGCUUUGGAAACUGUUAAGCUAGAGUGCUGGAGAGGUAAGCAGAAUUCCUAGUGUAGCGGUGAAAUGCGUAGAUAUUAGGAAGAACACCAGUGGCGAAGGCGGCUUACUGGACAGUAACUGACGUUGAGGCUCGAAAGCGUGGGGAGCAAACAGGAUUAGGUACCCUGGUAGUCCACGCCGUAAACGAUGAAUGCUAGGUGUUGNGGAGCAAAGCUUCUCNGUGCCGCCGCAAA
rnacentral:rRNA from 1 species